GCAUCGGAACGUGUCCCGUAGUGGGGGAUAACGCCGCGAAAGCGGCGCUAAUACCGCAUACGCUCUACGGAGGAAAGUGGGGGAUUCGCAAGGACCUCACGUUAUGGGGGCGGCCGAUGUCCGAUUAGCUAGUUGGUGGGGUAAUGGCUUACCAAGGCGACGAUCGGUAGCUGGUCUGAGAGGAUGAUCAGCCACACUGGGACUGAGACACGGCCCAGACUCCUACGGGAGGCAGCAGUGGGGAAUUUUGGACAAUGGGGGCAACCCUGAUCCAGCCAUGCCGCGUGCGGGAAGAAGGCC
rnacentral:rRNA from 1 species